GUCCACGCCCUAAACGAUGUCUACUAGUUGUCGGGCCUUAAUUGGCUUGGUAACGCAGCUAACGCGUGAAGUAGACCGCCUGGGGAGUACGGUCGCAAGAUUAAAACUCAAAGGAAUUGACGGGGACCCGCACAAGCGGUGGAUGAUGUGGAUUAAUUCGAUGCAACGCGAAAACCUUACCUACCCUUGACAUGGCUGGAAUCCCUGAGAGAUUGGGGAGUGCCCGAAAGGGAGCCAGUACACAGGUGCUGCAUGGCUGUCGU
rnacentral:rRNA from 1 species